UGGGGAAUAUUGCACAAUGGGGGAAACCCUGAUGCAGCGACGCCGCGUGAGCGAAGAAGUAUUUCGGUAUGUAAAGCUCUAUCAGCAGGGAAGAUAAUGACGGUACCUGACUAAGAAGCCCCGGCUAACUACGUGCCAGCAGCCGCGGUAAUACGUAGGGGGCAAGCGUUAUCCGGAUUUACUGGGUGUAAAGGGAGCGUAGACGGCGAAACAAGUCUGGUGUGAAAACCCGGGGCUCAACCCCGGGCCUGCAUUGGAAACUGUUUGCUUGAGUUGGAGAGAAGUAGGCGGAAUGCGCGGUGUAGCGGUGAAAUGCGUAGAUAUUAGGAGGAACACCAGUGGCGAAGGCGGCUUACUGGACGAUGACUGACGUUGAGGCUCGAAAGCGUGGGGAGCAAACAGGAUUAGAUACCC
rnacentral:rRNA from 1 species